CUCACACACUGCUUUAAAGUGUUGUGUUAACCUUUAAACUCCUAGGUCAGACUUUUAUUUUUUAGGCUGACCUCCUCCUUCUUAUGUUAAAAGGUAUAAAGUAAAGGGAUGUACAGGAAGCUCACUCAGGAAACAGGAAAGGUGUUUGCACACUCCUGCACAAUGCAGUUAUUAGCAGCUUGAAGAGGUUGUUGGGGAGGUUUAUGCUCAGAAGUAUUGUCACGGUAAUACAGAAAAUAGCUGGAGCUACAUUAUUAUCUUUUAAAAAGCUGAAAUAUCUUCAGUAUGCAAUUUCCUGUUCUUCUCUUCAUCUCAUCUGUUUCAGCAGUAGUUGGCAUGGUGAGUGUAUUAGUUACCAAACCUGUGAUAUCCUACUGCCACCAGGCUAUCACUCUGCACUGCAAUGUUUCUCUGUCUGAUGGAAAGGACCGUGAAUUCCAGGUUACUCAUCUGAGCUGGAUUAAAGAAUCAAAUAAAACAGUUUGCUCAGAAAGCAAGACAGCUAAGAAAGGUUCCAUCCACUGCCAAUACAUGCCAAACAAACAGCUGGUACUAACUAUUGCCCACCCAAAAUCAGAUGACAUCGGACGCUAUAUCUGCAAACUCCGAUCCUCCUAUGGACAUACAAGUGCUGAUACCAAUGUGACAUUGGAGUGUCCCCAGGAAAUUGUCCAGAUAAAUGAAGAUGGAAAAAACAGGGUGACCUGCAAGGUUGAGAGGUCAAACCAUGAUGGGCGUAUCCACUGGUUUCAUGGAACAGUCAAUCUAACGAGCCAAUCAACCCAGGACAUAAAGUCUGCUGCUGAUGGAUCAUAUACAGUGUGCAAGAGCCAGACAAGGAAACAGAGUCACAGGGAACACAGGCGGCAGGACACAAGGCUGGUGGAGUGGUGA
ensembl:lncRNA